ACUGAUCCCGCUGUUGCUGCAAUAAUGGAGGCCGCUGAUCCUACAAGUGGAAUGGAUGGAUACGUUUAUUUUUCAGAGAAUUGAAAAUACUGAUGGCUUUCACUGAUAGCUGUGAACUUCUGAACUUGUCUGCAGACUUUCAAUAUUGCAACACUGAUGGAUGAGGCAUCCUCGACCCAUUUGUUAACACAUCUCAGCAUUGGAGAACUACAGUGAAAACACUACAGUAUCACAUCACUGAAUCCCCCACUAUCAACAUCCUGGAGGUUACCAUUGACUAGAAACUCAACUGGAUUCAUCUCAUAAUCACAGUGACUACAAGAGCUGGUCAGAAGCAAGGAAUAUUUUGGACAGUAACUCAUCGUCUAACUCCUCAAAGCCUAUCCAGCAUCUACAAGGUACGUGUCAGGUGUGCGAUGGAACACUCCACACUUGCUUGGAUGGAUUCAGCUCCAAAAGCAUUCAAAAUUGACACCGUACAGGACAAGUCAGCUUGCGAGAUUGGCAGCACAGCCCCAAACAUCCAUUCCAUACACCACUGACACUCAGUAGCAGAGUGUGUGCUGUCCAAAAAAUGCACAGCAGAAAUCCAUCAUAGAUCGUCAGAUAGCAUCUUCCAAACUCAUGACAACUUCCAGAAGGACAAGAGCAGCAUAUAACACCACCUCCAAGUUUCCCUCCAAGCCACUCACCAUCUUGACUUGGAAAUAUAUCACUAUUCCUUCACUGCCACUGGGGCAAAAUCUGGGAAAUACUUCUCUGAUGGCAUUGUGGAUCAACCCACAGUAGGUGGGCAGCAGCAAUUCAAGAAGGCAAAUCACUACAUCUUCUCAAAGGCAACCAGGGAAGGGUAUAAAUGCUGGCCAGCCAGCAACAUCCACAUCUUGUGAAUGAAUAAAAGAAAAAAGAGAGGAGAA